rnacentral:lncRNA from 1 species
CAUGAUAGGUAAAAGGGCGAGAUGAUGACAUUACAUUUUUACCAACGGGUUAGAUCUGACUAAAGAAUAAAAAAGGGUCAAAACAAGAAAUUUUCCCCUCCUCCCUCCGUGCAAAUUCCCACAGCCGAAGGCACUGCUCACGCAUAGCUGCAGCGCUGACACUUCAUGCUGCACAUCCAUCCAUCCAUGCAUUAUUCCAUCAGGCAUCAGCUACCUAGCAGAACAGUUCAAAACAGUACCAACAAAAACGCACAGAGACAGCCUACAGGAAAACAGUGCGCACAGUAUAACGUUGUAGACACUUGGCUCCAGUAUUUGUAUUUUACAGAUAGUGUAGCAC